rnacentral:tRNA from 1 species
GUUUAUUUAAUUUAAAUAAAAUAUUAGAUUGUGAUUCUAGCUAUGAAAGUUAAAAUCUUUCAAUAAACC